GUUCCGUAGGUGAACCUGCGGAAGGAUCAUUAUUGGAUCUUGAAACUUCAGGCUGCUGCUGGCUCUCCUCGGAGGGCAUGUGCACGCUUGUUGUCCAUUAUUUCUCCCACUGUGCACAAAUUGUAGACCUUUCAGUAGGCCUAUGUUGUUUUUCACAAUCUCUGAAUGUAAUAGAAUGGUUUUGAAUCUUGGGAAAUACAAUACAACUUUCAGCAACGGAUCUCUUGGCUCUC
rnacentral:misc_RNA from 1 species